AAGGCGGUAUCUUAUAGGAACUGCACUUGCAGCUUGACGGUUGAUUGUUUAACAAAGGAAUAGGACUUAAAACAUGAUGUUGGAUUCUGCUCUGAGCCUUAUGGGACCGAGACAGAAGG
rfam:Paenibacillus sp. Soil787 contig_6, whole genome shotgun sequence.